GGGUUCAGUAGAAGAAUUCCAAGGCCAAGAACGAAGCGUCAUCCUCAUCUCCACCGUGCGAAGCAGCCAGAGCUUUGUGCAGCUGGAUCUGGACUUUAAUCUGGGUUUCCUUAAGAACCCCAAGAGGUUCAAUGUAGCUGUGACCCGGGCCAAGGCCCUGCUCAUCAUCGUGGGGAACCCCCUUCUCCUGGGCCAUGACCCUGACUGGAAAGUAUUCCUGGAGUUCUGUAAAGAAAACGGAGGGUAUACCGGGUGUCCCUUCCCUGCCAAACUGGACCUGCAACAGGGACAGAAUUUACUGCAAGGUCUGAGCAAGCUCAGCCCCUCUACCUCAGGUAUGGCUGGGCCAGGGUGGGGACAGUGCCAGAGGAGGUGGUAAGGAAGACACAGUGUACUUUCUCUCUUUCCAGGGCCCCACAGCCAUGACUACCUCCCCCAGGAGCGGGAGGGUGAAGGGGGCCUGUCUCUGCAAGUGGAGCCAGAGUGGAGGAAUGAGCUCUGAAGACACAGCACCCAGCCUUCUCGCACCAGCCAAGCCUUAACUGCCUGCCUGACCCUGAACCAGAACCCAGCUGAACUGCCCCUCCAAGGGACAGGAAGGCUGGGGGAGGGAGUUUACAACCCAAGCCAUUCCACCCCCUCCCCUGCUGGGGAGAAUGACACAUCAAGCUGCUAACAAUUGGGGGAAGGGGAAGGAAGAAAACUCUGAAAACAAAAUCU
rnacentral:lncRNA from 1 species